AUAUCAAUAAGCGGAGGAAAAGAAACCAACAGGGAUUGCCCUAGUAACGGCGAGUGAAGCGGCAACAGCUCAAAUUUGAAAUCUGGCUCUUUCAGAGUCCGAGUUGUAAUUUGCAGAGGGCGCUUUGGCUUUGGCAGCGGUCCAAGUUCCUUGGAACAGGACGUCACAGAGGGUGAGAAUCCCGUACGUGGUCGCUAGCUAUUGCCGUGUAAAGCCCCUUCGACGAGUCGAGUUGUUUGGGAAUGCAGCUCUAAAUGGGAGGUAAAUUUCUUCUAAAGCUAAAUAUUGGCCAGAGACCGAUAGCGCACAAGUAGAGUGAUCGAAAGAUGAAAAGCACUUUGGAAAGAGAGUCAAACAGCACGUGAAAUUGUUGAAAGGGAAGCGCUUGCAGCCAGACUUGCUUGCAGUUGCUCAUCCGGGCUUUUGCCCGGUGCACUCUUCUGCAGGCAGGCCAGCAUCAGUUUGGGCGGUGGGAUAAAGGUCUCUGUCACGUACCUCUCUUCGGGGAGGCCUUAUAGGGGAGACGACAUACCACCAGCCUGGACUGAGGUCCGCGCAUCUGCUAGGAUGCUGGCGUAAUGGCUGUAAGCGGCCCGUCUUGAAACACGGACCAAGGAGUCUAACAUCUAUGCGAGUGUUUGGGUGUCAAGCCCGAGCGCGUAAUGAAAGUGAACGGAGGUGGGAACCCGCAAGGGCGCACCAUCGACCGAUCCUGAAGUUUACGGAAGGAUUUGAGUAAGAGCAUGGCUGUUGGGACCCGAAAGAUGGUGAACUAUGCUUGAAUAGGGUGAAGCCAGAGGAAACUCUGGUGGAGGCUCGCAGCGGUUCUGACGUGCAA
rnacentral:sRNA from 1 species